AUGCAAGUCGAGGGGUAUAGUUCUUCGGAGCUAGAGACCGGCGCACGGGUGCGUAACGCGUAUGCAAUCUACCUUUUACAGAGGGAUAGCCCAGAGAAAUUUGGAUUAAUACCUCAUAGUAUGUGAGAAUCGCAUGGUUUUCACAUUAAAGUCACAACGGUAAAAGAUGAGCAUGCGUCCCAUUAGCUUGUUGGUAAGGUAACGGCUUACCAAGGCAACGAUGGGUAGGGGUCCUGAGAGGGAGAUCCCCCACACUGGUACUGAGACACGGACCAGACUCCUACGGGAGGCAGCAGUGAGGAAUAUUGGACAAUGGGCGCAAGCCUGAUCCAGCCAUGCCGCGUGCAGGAUGACGGUCCUAUGGAUUGUAAACUGCUUUUGUACAGGAAGAAACACUCCCUCGUGAGGGAGCUUGACGGUACUGUAAGAAUAAGGAUCGGCUAACUCCGUGCCAGCAGCCGCGGUAAUACGGAGGAUCCAAGCGUUAUCCGGAAUCAUUGGGUUUAAAGGGUCCGUAGGCGGUUUAAUAAGUCAGUGGUGAAAGCCCAUCGCUCAACGGUGGAACGGCCAUUGAUACUGUUAAACUUGAAUUAUUAGGAAGUAACUAGAAUAUGUAGUGUAGCGGUGAAAUGCUUAGAGAUUACAUGGAAUACCAAUUGCGAAGGCAGGUUACUACUAAUGGAUGACGCUGAU
rnacentral:rRNA from 1 species